rnacentral:rRNA from 1 species
UACAGAGGUCUCAAGCGUUGUUCGGAUUCAUUGGGCGUAAAGGGUGCGUAGGUGGCGCUGUAAGUCGGGUGUGAAAUUCGGAGCUUAACUCCGAAACUGCAUUCGAUACUGCGGUGCUUGAGGACUGGAGAGGAGACUGGAAUUCAUGGUGUAGCAGUGAAAUGCGUAGAGAUCAUGGAGGAAGACCAGUGGCGAAGGCGAAUCUCUGGACAGUUACUGACACUGAGGCACGAAGG